CUCCUUGGCCUUCUUUAUCUUCUGAAGCCAAGCAUUUUGUCAAGCGUCUAUUGAAUAAAGACCCACAUGAACGAGUGAUGGCUGCUGAGGCAUUAAGUCAUCCUUGGAUUAGUAACUACAAUGAUAUUCAAGCUCAUGAAAGCCUAUAUGCGCUCAUCAUCUCUACAUAAAGCGGCGUUAAGAGGAAAGAAGAGACUUGCUGAAGUUGCUAACAAUAAGCCCACUCUUGGACAAAAAUGUUAAAGUAGAAACUCCUCAGAAGUUAGGUGAAAAUGUUUUUUCAUUUGGCUUGCUUCGUUGGAUUGUUAUGUUGCUGCCAUUUUCCUAUUUGUUCUAAUCAUCUGCAACUGUCCACGUUUUUGCAGGUGUUGAUGGCAAGAAAGGUGGUGUUGUUCGUCAAGGUACUCCUUACCCCAAGGGAGGAAAGACCCCUGCAAGUGGAGGCAAGUCAAACAAAUCUCUACUAGGGCAUUCGGUACAGUUCACAGUUGAGAACCGCAAUAGGUUUUGGUGUCUAUUUGUUUUCU